GACGAACGCUGGCGGCGUGCUUAACACAUGCAAGUCGAGGGCACUUUGGGGGCAACCCUGGAGUGACCGGCGAACGGGUGCGUAACGCGUGAGCGACCUUGCCUCGUGGUGGGGGAUAGCCGGCCCAACGGCCGGGUAAUACCGCAUAUGGUGCUGACUCCGCAUGGGGACGGCAGCAAAGCCCUGGAGCAAUCCAGUGGCGCCACGAGGGGGGC
rnacentral:rRNA from 1 species